GCACUACUGAGGAGUCCCACCACAGGACGAAACGGCCGUCCAGUAC
rfam:Schistosoma mattheei strain Denwood, Zambia genome assembly, scaffold: SMTD_scaffold0000679